AGAGCUUGCAGUGAUGCUAAGCUUGUUUAGCAGAAGUCAGCAAAGGCCAUAGUACCAGAAUUGGAAAGGGC
rnacentral:ncRNA from 1 species